AGGGAAGAAGGACUAAUGUCUGUGGACACUCUGAGGCUCACAGGGAGAAGCCACACACUCGCAGCACCAGGAUGAGUAAACAGAGGCUUGGAGGGGUGAUGAAAUUUGCCAACAGUCAUCAAUCGGUUCCAGGAACAGGUGAUGCUUCCCGGCAGUGAGACUCGAAACCAGCGGGAGUUCCCAGCCAGAGACAUGAUCUAAGUGCCAAUGGCUGAAUGUCUGUGAGCAUUUCAAGUCAUUUUAAGAAUAGGCAACAUUAGCGGCACCAUUAAAGCCUGCUGUUCCUCCAGCCCAUCACUGCCAUCCCCACCUAUUAAAAUAAUGGCAUGAAAAAUAAACAGCCUUUAUGUACAAUUUUAU
rnacentral:lncRNA from 10 species